CCCUUAGAUGUUCUGGGCUGCACGCGCGCUACACUGAUGCGCUCAACGAGUUUUAACCUUGCCUGGAAAGGUUGGGUAAUCUUUUUAAAACGCAUCGUGAUGGGGAUAGAUUAUUGCAAUUAUUAAUCUUCAACGAGGAAUUCCUAGUAAGCGCGAGUCAUCAGCUCGCGCUGAUUACGUCCCUGCCCUUUGUACACACCGCCCGUCGCUACUACCGAUUGGAUGGCUUAGCGAGAAUUUUGGAUCGGAGCCCGGGUGGUCGGCAACGGUCGCCCGGGAGAUCUGAGAAAUCAUUCCAGCUUGGUCAUCUAGAGGAAGUAAAAGUCGUAACA
rnacentral:rRNA from 1 species